UACGUAGGUGACCAGCGUUGUCCGGAUUUACUGGGCGUAAAGAGCGCGCAGGCGGUCGUUCAAGUCGAGUGUGAAAGCCCCCGGCUCAACUGGGGAGGGUCAUUCGAUACUGAUCGACUUGAAGGCAGGAGAGGGAAGUGGAAUUCCCGGUGUAGUGGUGAAAUGCGUAGAUAUCGGGAGGAACACCAGUGGCGAAGGCGACCGCCUGGACGAUGACUGACGCUGAGGCGCGAGAGCGUGGGGAGCAAACAGG
rnacentral:rRNA from 1 species